rnacentral:tRNA from 1 species
UUUAGGGAGACCUAACCCUCUUUUUCGAAAGAUGUCCUUGGGCAUCAGAUAAGUAGAAAAAGACUGGUCAUCUCAAGGUCGGUCAGUGUUGUUAGUGUUGGCUUUCAAACUUAUAUGUCUGGUUUGGGUAAACAAAAUUCGAACCAACAAGGGCUAUUAGCUCAGGUGGUUAGAGCGCACCCCUGAUAAGGGUGAGGUCCCUGGUUCGAGUCCAGGAUGGCCCACCUCCUAUCGUUAUGGGGGUUUAGCUCAGUUGGUAGAGCGCCUGCUUUGCAAGCAGGAUGUCAGCGGUUCGAGUCCGCUAACCUCCACUGAUUUGAAUACAGCAAUUGUUUUAGUUUGAUUUGUUUUGAUGAAUCGAGACUAAGCAACCUGCUGGAUUGCAAAUCCAGUCAGAACCAAGAAAACUGCAUAAGAAAUUAGGUAGGUAGUGACGUUAAUUGCGUUCGAGCGUGCAGCCUGUACGACUUGCCCGUAGAUUAACGAUUCACAGACACCAAUGUGAUUAGAAAGUGAUUAACUGGAUGCAAACUUUAUGCUUCCUAGAAUCAUGAACUAAUGACUGGCGCAAGCCAGAGAUUAGGAAUUGAAACUAACGAAGGUAAAGCAGA